rnacentral:rRNA from 1 species
UACGUAGGUUGCGAGCGUUGUCCGGAAUUCUUGGGCGUAAAGGGCUUGUAGGCGGUUUGUCGCGUCUGAUGUGAAAAUCCGGGGCUCAACCCCGGACUUGCAGUGGGUACGGGCAGACUAGAGUGUGGUAGGGGAGGCUGGAAUUCCUGGUGUAGCGGUGGAGUGCGCAGAUAUCAGGAGGAACACCGAUGGCGAAGGCAGGUCUCUGGGCCACUACUGACGCUGAGAAGCGAAAGCAUGGGGAGCGAACAGG